UACGAAGGGGGCUAGCGUUGUUCGGAUUUACUGGGCGUAAAGCGCACGUAGGCGGGUCGUUAAGUCGGGGGUGAAAUCCUGGAGCUCAACUCCAGAACUGCCUUCGAUACUGGCGACCUAGAGUCCGGAAGAGGUGAGUGGAACUCCUAGUGUAGAGGUGGAAUUCGUAGAUAUUAGGAAGAACACCAGUGGCGAAGGCAGCUCACUGGUCCGGUACUGACGCUGAGGUGCGAAAGCGUGGGGAGCAAACAGG
rnacentral:rRNA from 1 species